GAAAAAAAAACACGAAUCGUAUUGAAAUCAAUAGAUUCUUCGAAACAUCCAUUCUGAAUCUAAAUAAUUCAGUGCAAUUUCCCCAUUAAGAGUACAAAAUUAAAAUUUGAACUACCCUAAAUUAUAUUCUUUGAGUGGUCAAACUUAACGCUAAUUUUUUACUCAUCUUAGCUAAUGCAAAGCAAUAUGUUGACCGAUCCGGUAUUCAGAUUAAAUAAUUCCGUUACUCGAAUUGACGAUCAAUUUCUUUUAUCUGGAUUCUUAGAUCCAAUCCAUUAAUUUUACAAAAAUGGACAAGCUACUAAAAAAAUGUUAAGUUGACAGAACAGUAUCUAAAGUGAUAAUUUGGGGCAGUUAAACGAAUAUUAUAUUAAAUCGCGUAGCUACACUAUGAUUUGAGAUAAUCAGCCAUAUUUUAAGCUAAAUUAAAAUACUAAAUAUUCCAGAUUGAUACCCAUAAUCUGGAUUUGUAAUCACUAAGGCCCAGAUUUAUAUAUGAUCUAAAUACCUUAGAAAUAUGCACUAUAAAAUAUGAAUUUAUGCUCUUAUUUUGUAGUAAUAUACUCUUUAAAAUGAAACAUUCGCACAAAAAUAUCGAUUUUAAAAAAACAAAAUAUUUUUUAAAUUUUUACUAUUUCUAUUUUUAUUUUUAAACAAGGUAAAAUCGA